AUUCUAUGUUGAGCACCAUUUGGGUUCUCCAAUAUCAUCCAUGGUGACAUUAAAUUGAUUCUGCUUGGCUUAUUAGCCUCCUGCACUCUGUGGCUCACAAAUUCAUCAGCUGAUUUGAAGCUACCCUUGAGCCUCACCACAUGCCCAGAGUAUGCAGAGGCACAGAGGAGAAAAGCACGAUACAGACACAGAAUGCUGAGCUCACCAGGAUCAACUCUCCCUCCUCCUGUGGUGUUGGCUUCUCAGACUGUGGCUGCCUUGGCAGCACUCUGCAGCCUUAAACAGAUUUUUAUUUUUUGGAUAUUUUAUCCAACUUUUCCCCAGAAAAGUUAUACUACGAGCUAAUACAUAGAUACAAAAGGAAUUGCUGUCCAGCACGGGACAUCACAGUGCCUGAUUGAUGUGGGGAUACAAAGGCCUGACGCUGGUGCCUCAAUUAGGAAAACUUUGAAUGAUCAGCUCAAACCCAAGAGGAGGAGCUGAAGGGCCUCCCUUGCAAUCGCAUUGUAGAGAAUGCUCAACCCAAUGCUACCAUGGCCAGAUUUGUAUGUCAACUUGGCUUAACUAUGGUCCCCAGUAAUUCAGAUCCUAAUCUUAGUGUUACUGUGAAGGUAUUUUGUAGAUAUGAUUAAAGUCCAUAAUCAAUUAGAUUUAAGAAAAAGACAAUUUUAGAUAAUCUGCUUGGGUCUGAUUCAAUUAGUUGAGAGGUGUUCAGAGCAGAACUGAAACUUCCUGAUGAAGAAAACAUUUUGAUUUUAGAAAACAGCUUCAGCCCAUGGUGACAAUUACAGCUGCCUUUGCUUACAGACUCUGCCUUAUGGAUUUCAGAUUUGA